CCGGCACGGUGAGUAACACGUAUCCAACCUGCCGUCUACUCUUGGCCAGCCUUCUGAAAGGAAGAUUAAUCCAGGAUGGCAUCAUGAGUUCACAUGUCCGCAUGAUUAAAGGUAUUUUCCGGUAGACGAUGGGGAUGCGUUCCAUUAGAUAGUAGGCGGGGUAACGGCCCACCUAGUCAACGAUGGAUAGGGGUUCUGAGAGGAAGGUCCCCCACAUUGGAACUGAGACACGGUCCAA
rnacentral:rRNA from 1 species